rnacentral:rRNA from 1 species
UACGUAGGGGGCAAGCGUUGUCCGGAUUUAUUGGGCGUAAAGAGCGUGUAGGCGGCUAGAUAGGUCCGUUGUGAAAACUCGAGGCUCAACCUCGAGACGUCGAUGGAAACCAUCUAGCUAGAGUCCGGAAGAGGAGAGUGGAAUUCCUGGUGUAGCGGUGAAAUGCGCAGAUAUUAGGAAGAACACCCGUGGCGAAGGCGGCUCUCUGGUACGUGACUGACGCUGAGACGCGAAAGCGUGGGGAGCAAACAGG